AACUACAAGUCCCUUGUCUCCUAGCUCUGCUUUCGUCAGGUCGGGUAGUGUGCUGCUGAAAUUUGGUUUUGAACGUGAGGGGCGAGCGGGAGUGUGUAACUGGACUGGACUCAAUCGGCACAGCAGUGUUGUGGUGUCCCAAUGGCGACAGACCUUGUUGCUCAGUUGGCCGACUCGCUGGCCCAGACUGGAGUAGAGGAGGGAGAGCUGAGCUACAAAGGCCAGGGAAGAAAGCUGGAUGAUGCCCAAUCAGUGGAAGAGAUGGUGAAGGAGAUCCAGGACUUUGAGGGAUUACAGGCUCUGAGGUUGGAGGGAAACACUGUUGGCGUGGAGGCAGCACGGGCCAUCGCCAAGGCCCUAGAGACAAAGAGCGAAUUCAAGCGCUGUUAUUGGAGUGACAUGUUCACAGGUCGUCUGCGCUCUGAGAUCCCACCUGCUCUGAAUUCACUGGGAGACGCUCUGAUGCUGGCAGGUGCCAGGUUGACUGUUUUAGACCUCAGUGACAACGCCUUUGGACCAGAUGGGGUGAAGGGCAUUGAGAAGUUGCUCAAGAGCACCGCCUGCUACACAUUGCAGGAGCUACGGCUCAACAACUGUGGCAUGGGCAUCGGAGGGGGAAAGAUCUUGGCUGCCUCCUUGAAGGAGUGUCAUAAAAAAUCCAGUGCAGAGGGCGCCCCCCUCAGCCUGAAGGUGUUUGUUGCAGGAAGAAAUCGACUGGAGAACGACGGAGCCACCGCCCUCGCUCAAGCUUUCCAGUUGAUGGGCAGCCUGGAGGAGGUUCACAUGCCCCAGAAUGGCAUCAAUCACCCUGGUGUGACAGCCCUGGCCACAGCCAUGCAGCACAACAAAGGACUCCGCAUCCUCAACCUCAAUGACAACACCUUUACUGAGAAGGGUGCUAUGGCCAUGGCUCAGGCCCUGAAACCCCUCCGCAGCAUCCAGGUGAUAAACUUUGGAGACUGUCUGGUGCGGCCAGCAGGAGCCAUGGCCAUUGCAGAAACUGUGUCAGAGGGACUCCCAAUCCUCAAGGAACUCAAUCUGUCAUUUGGCGAGAUCACAGAGGAAGCUGCUCUGGCUGUGGCACAAGCAGUAAAGGACAAGGACCAGCUGGAAAAACUGGACCUAAAUGGUAAUUGUUUAGGAGAGGAUGGCUGUAAAGCUCUGAAAGACGCCAUGGAAGGCAUGAACAUGGGCGAGCUUCUAGGAUCACUCAGCGAUGACGAGGGUGAACCAGAGGAUGACGAUGAGGACGACGAUGAUGAUGAGGAGGAGGACGAUGAUGAGGAAGUGGAUGAGGAGGAAGUAGAGGAGGAAGAGGAGGAGGAGGAGGAGGAGGAGGAAGAGGAAAGCAGCAGCAACAACAAGUUAUCCACGCCUGCAUCAGCACCCCGGCCACCAGACGUCUCCUCCUUCCUCAGCUUUCCGUCUCCAGACAAACUGCUCAAACUGGGAGACAAGAGAGCUUUCCUGAUCGAGCAGCAGGUGGAUGUAACAGACGGUACAAAAACAGCUGAAGCCUUCCUCAAGAUUGCAUCUGUGUACAAGGAGGAGAAUAAAGAUGUUAAGAAUGCAGUGUUGGACAGUAUUGACGCCCUUCUGAAGAAAGCUUUUGCCACUCCUUCCUUCCAAGGCUACAGCUUUGUAUCAUCUUUGUUAGUGCUGCUUGGACUUAUCAAGAGUGAAGACAAAGUGAAGCCUGUGCUCGUGGUUCCUGGCCACCUCCAUGCCUUGGAGCACGUUGUUCGACAAGACUACUUCCCCAAAGAGAACGUGGCAGUGCUGGAGGCCUUCAUGUCCCGGUAAGGACGUGACAAUGAGCCAAUCAGCAUGCAGCUCGCAGAUGCUUUUUUUGACAAAUGAUCGUGGUCAGCUCUAACCUUCACAAAACAACAAGGCCCUGGACUCAUGUGGAAAUGCCAGAAACAGCCUCCAGUCAACACUGCAGAGAGUCAGGUCUGAGAGCUGAGGACACACACACACACACACACACACACAGACUGAACUUUGACUAAUCACUGAUGGACCUUUGGAAACCAGCACACGAGCUCAAAUUUGAAGCAAAUGAAGCAGAGCAGCACCUGAGAAGAACAGACUGCACUCAGGCGCACUUCCCUGUGUCACCACUCUCCCUCAACAACACACCCUUUUCUGGACUCUGGACUGGACUUGAAUGCUUUUGUGUUUUGAAAUAGACUAUACUCUUAUAGUGUGGACUUACUGAAGUACUUUAAGUACACUCAUUACCACAGGACAGCACUGACAACCUGGUCUUAAUGCUCUUUGUAUUCCGAUGAAUAAGAAAAGGCCUCGCACUCCACACAACCUGUUGUCUCCUGGUUUGUGACACAUGACUGAAGCACAGAUUAAACUUUGGAGCAAACUAGAAAAGUUCUGACCAGGAUUGAUAUGGACUCAAAGUAUCAGCAGUUGUACAUUUUCUAUUCAUAUCUACCUUUACUAUUCUCUUUUUAUAUGAAAUGUUUAUUAAAUUCCCAAAAAAUAUGGUGAAACAGAUAUUAUUAAAUAUGUAUUGAAUGGUAAAUAUUAUCAAACUAAGACUAGAGUUCAAUAAAACAAUCAAAAGGAAUGAAACAGGUUUAAAUGUAUUUUCUGCCUUUAAAUGAGGCACAAAGUGCAGAGUUUUUGGAUUUGUGUUGAAAAAUAAAGCUGAUUUGAGUGUUGGAUGCUG